rnacentral:rRNA from 1 species
GUCUAUGGCCAUUUCCCCUGAAUGUACCUAGUCUUAUCUGAUCUCAGAAACUAAACAGGGCCAGACUUGGCUAGUGCUUAUAUG